rnacentral:rRNA from 1 species
GACGAACGCUGGCGGCGUGCCUAAUACGUGCAAGUCGAGCGCAGGAAACUGACGGAACUCUUCGGAGGGAAGGCAGUGGAAUGAGCGGCGGACGGGUGAGUAACACGUAAGGAACCUGCCUCAAGGAUUGGGAUAACUCCGAGAAAUCGGAGCUAAUACCGGAUAGUUCAUCGGACCGCAUGGUCCGUUGAUGAAAGGCGCUCCGGCGUCACCUUGAGAUGGCCUUGCGGUGCAUUAGCUAGUUGGUGGGGUAACGGCCCACCAAGGCGACGAUGCAUAGCCGACCUGAGAGGGUGAUCGGCCACACUGGGACUGAGACACGGCCCAGACUCCUACGGGAGGCAGCAGUAGGGAAUCUUCCACAAUGGACGAAAGUCUGAUGGAGCAACGCCGCGUGAGUGAUGAAGGUUUUCGGAUCGUAAAACUCUGUUGUAAGGGAAGAACACGUACGAGAGGGAAUGCUCGUACCUUGACGGUACCUUACGAGAAAGCCACGGCUAACUACGUGCCAGCCGCCGCUGUAA